rnacentral:rRNA from 1 species
AUUGAACGCUGGCGGCAGGCCUAACACAUGCAAGUCGAGCGGAUGAAGGGAGCUUGCUCCUGGAUUCAGCGGCGGACGGGUGAGUAAUGCCUAGGAAUCUGCCUGGUAGUGGGGGAUAACGUCCGGAAACGGGCGCUAAUACCGCAUACGUCCUGAGGGAGAAAGUGGGGGAUCUUCGGACCUCACGCUAUCAGAUGAGCCUAGGUCGGAUUAGCUAGUUGGUGGGGUAAAGGCCUACCAAGGCGACGAUCCGUAACUGGUCUGAGAGGAUGAUCAGUCACCCUGGACCUGGGCCCCGUCCCGGCCCCCUACGGGAGGCGGCAGUGGGAAUUUUUGACAAUGGGCGAAAGCCUGAUCCAGCCAUGCCGCGUGUGUGAAGAAGGUCUUCGGAUUGUAAAGCACUUUAAGUUGGGAGGAAGGGCAGUAAGUUAAUACCUUGCUGUUUUGACGUUACCAACAGAAUAAGCACCGGCUAACUUCGUG